rnacentral:rRNA from 1 species
AGCGAACGCUGGCGGCAGGCUUAACACAUGCAAGUCGAACGGGCGUAGCAAUACGUCAGUGGCAGACGGGUGAGUAACGCGUGGGAACGUACCUUUUGGUUCGGAACAACCCAGGGAAACUUGGGCUAAUACCGGAUAAGCCCUUACGGGGAAAGAUUUAUCGCCGAAAGAUCGGCCCGCGUCUGAUUAGCUAGUUGGUGAGGUAACGGCUCACCAAGGCGACGAUCAGUAGCUGGUCUGAGAGGANGAUCAGCCACAUUGGGACUGAGACACGGCCCAAACUCCUACGGGAGGCAGCAGUGGGGAAUAUUGGACAAUGGGCGCAAGCCUGAUCCAGCCAUGCCGCGUGAGUGA